UGCGGAUAUGGUCAAAUGGUAAAAUUUCUC
rnacentral:tRNA from 1 species